rnacentral:lncRNA from 1 species
UUAUAAAUAAAGCUGCUACGAACAUUUGUGUACAACUCUUCCUGUGAACAUAUAUUUUUCAUUUCUUUUAGGUAUAUACUUAGGAGUAGAAUUACUGGAUUACAGGAAAGAGAACUACAGAGCUCAGGAUGAGCAGAAACAAUAUCAAAUGUUAGGUCCAUGCCCCAGGAAUGUUCGCUGUUGGACUCCAUAAUUGUUCCUAACAUCUCCAGUGAAUGCAGUACUUUUAUAGCAGAGGUAAAAAAUGAACAAUGCCACUGAACUACACCUGAAGCAACUGUGGGAAGCACUCUAUACCUUUCAUGGACAGCUUUCUUUCUGUUCUUUCUCUUAAGCACUCCCUCUUCGCCCCCUCUUCCAUUUUUCAUUUUCCGUAAAUCAGCCUGUGGCAGCCAUGGACAUUGAUAACCUCAUUGGUGGCGUUUAAGCCCAAGGACAUUGCUUCUUUUGUGUUAAAACUAUAAAGGGAAGGCAUUUAUGUGUCAUGCUGGUAAAAGUACACUAGACAGUAAGCAGUGGAACACAGGAAUUAAGAACUAGGGCUUUGAAGUCCAAAAACCCUGUAAUGGAAUCAUGGGGCAAAAUCUUUACAGAAUAUUUCUGAGGCUUAGGUUUUUGGUAAGUAAAAUGAAAUACUACUUAUUGUAUAGUAUUAUAAUUAAUGAGCAUAAGCCUGCACCUACUAGUCACUAACUACAUGACAGACCCUGAUAUUCAGUGCCUAGAUCCACAUAAAUUACUCUGCAUAAUAUGUUCAAUAUUGUUAAGCAUUAUUAUUUUGAAGUAAUAAUAAUUGUUAUUAAUAUGAAACACAUUACUUCAGUGAAAUGGAUUUAUUAAAUAACAAUACUGUAGUGGCAAAUCAGGUUUAACUAAAUUACUACUUAUAGAAUAAAAUGGGU